AAAAAGGAAUUUAGGAAGACUGGUGGAGAUGAGGAACGAAUGGCAGCCAUUGCAGCUUACAUGAAGCUUAAUUGGCAGGGCCUUCAGAAGAAGGUUGUCUUUGUUACUGUUAUUACAGAUCUCAACACCUUCCAUCGCACAUGGUUCAACACUGGUGUCAACCAAUGCUACUUCCCUUCGGACGAGGUUGCCAAGAGGGCGUUGGUUGAUGGCCUAGAGUCUUCCCAGAUUCGCGUGUUUGGUUUGCCCGUCAGGCCCUCGUUUUUUCGGCUGUAAAGAAAACUGCAAGAGCUCUCGACGAAGCACUAUUCAGUGCAGAACUUGGUAAACCAAUUGGACAGAUCACCAUGGAAAGUCCAGUAAAGGUAAUAGAUCAGAUGAUUCGAGACCCAAAUGGAGAAAUGGAUGGGUGCUUGUGACUGCAUUAUAACCAAAGCUGGACUUGGAACAAUUGCGGAGGCCUUGAUAAGGGGCCUUCCAAUCAUGAAGCAAUGGCUAGGCAGUUGUAUUGCAGGCUCUGGUGUUGUGUUGGUGCAGUCGGUGUGUCCAAGGGCUAGAAAGGUUUUACU